UCCCUUUCAGCUAUUUUUUUCUCUCUUUCUUCUAAUUUCCUGUUCUUUGAUUCAGCUUCCUUUUCUUGUAAAUGUAAUUCAGCUAGUCGUUUGUUAAUGUCGUCCUCUUUAAUUUUGAGUGUAGCUUUAGUAUGCUCCAGAGCUUUUUUUGCUUCCUCCAACUCUUCUUGCUUUAUCUUGAAAAGUUUGUCAUUCUCGUUUGCUCUCUCCUCUCGAUCAUUUAGGGAUCUCUGCAAAUCAAGAAUUCUAUUCUGACUUUCCUUAAGCUUUUUGUCCCAGUCACGUAAUGAAUCCUCCUGACGCUUGAUCCGG
rnacentral:misc_RNA from 1 species